CAUCAUAGGUUAUUUUCAAAUCUAGGCGUGCACUAAAAUAUCAUGGAAUUUUUCAUUGAUAGAUAGUAAAAUUUAUUUUAUAUCAAGCUGCAUCAAAUAGAGAAGAUGUAAAAUCCCAAGAAGACACAGUGAGAAGAUUAAGCUUUUGUACCUUUCUUUGUUUGAAGGGUCAUCCUGGGGUUUCAUUGCAGAGAAAAGCAAAACUUCCUGCGCACACAAAAAUUUCAAACUCCAAUCCAAUGCGACCUUUAUAUUCUGUGAAUCAGUUAACAGCCCCAAACCCCAACCGCCAUUUGGAGCUCAAAUCUCUGAGUGAGGCCUGGUUUACACAUGAUGAAAGCAGGGUUUACACAUGUCUCCUCAACAAGCUGCAUCCAUAAUAUAUGCUUAAUAACAACAGGGGAACAACGCAUCUUACUUUGUCUAAUAAUCUAGUCGUUGUUUGAGGAGGUGGGCAUUUCAUUUCAAACUUGGCACAUGCAUCCACCAGAUAUUUAUUGGUUUCCUCACUGCAGAGGUCAUUAGGUAUGUUAAGAUUAGCCAUCCUCUCUCUCUAA